rnacentral:rRNA from 1 species
CCUACGGGUGGCAGCCGUGGGGAAUAUUGCACAAUGGGGGAAACCCUGAUGCAGCGACGCCGCGUGAGUGAAGAAGUAUUUCGGUAUGUAAAGCUCUAUCAGCAGGGAAGAAAAUGACGGUACCUGAUUCAGCAGCCCCGGCUCACUACGUGCCAGCCGCCGCCGUAAGUCGUAGGGGGCAAGCGGUAUCCGGAUUUACUGGGUGUAAAGGGAGCGUAGACGGUAGUACAAGUCUGGAGGGAAAUGCUGGGGCUUAACCCCGGAACUGCUUUGGAAACUGUGGAGCUAGAGUGCAGGAGAGGUAAGCGGAAUUCGUAGUGUAGCGGUGAAAUGCGUAGAUAUUAGGAGGAACACCAGUGGCGAAGGCGGCUUACUGGACUGUAACUGACGUUGAGGCUCGAAAGCGUGGGGAGCAAACAGGAUUAGAUACCCCAGUAGUC